AUUAAGCCUUUGACUUUUAGAUUUAUUGCAAAAUCAAAACAAAAAUAAAAAAUUUAAUCAGCUGUUCGCAUGUUCUCUCCUUAUAAGUACAUCCUGGCUGUGUCCAAGGCGGAUUUAAAAAGCAGGUCUCAGACGAACAGCUGUUAAUAGCCGGCCAGGAUAUGCGGUAUUUAGAUGUUAGAUUUUUGUUGGCCUUUUCUCUGUUGGUAUCUUCUUUCUCGCAUAUUCUCUGCUCAUGUAUGCACACGUAUACACACAAAACGUCGAUCAACUUGAUAACAAGAUGGCAGAUUGCACCAUUUGAUGUGUGGUUUUUGAACAAAUGAGACCACCUUUAAUUAGCUGUGUUCGGGCUCUAAAAUUUGUGCAAAUUUGCAAAUAUUUACUGGAAGUCCUUUGCGUACUUUAUUUGCCAGCAGUAGAGAGCUCGAGAGAGAGAGCAAAUUUUGACAGUUAGAAAAUAGAGAACUUUCAAAUUUCUACUGGGAUUUUUUUUUUUUGCCAACAGAAAUUUGCAACUUUGAACAGAUGUUUUGUAAAGGUCAGCUGUUUUAUGAAAAGCAGCCGUUACAUGAAAAUACAAAAGCUAACGCCAAAAUGGAUCAAAAGGCAGAGAUUCAUGGCAGCAGCUAGUGUUCCGGGAAAAAAAAACUCGACAAAUGAAGUUGUAAUUUUACCUCAAGUCGGGUGUGCUACAUUAGAAGACAUCAAGAAAAGAGCAAGUAUCGGUUUAUCUAAGUGUUUUGAUGGAACCAUCCUAAUCGGAGAGCUACGAUGAAACCAACACCGUUCCUUUGAAUUUGUUAAGGGGGAAGAUGCUGCCAUAGGAUUGAGUGGGUCUAGCUGAGUAGUUAAACAAGUGACGCACCGUGCAAAUUGGUCUGACAAUUGUGAACGGAUAGAUAUCUUCAAUUAUAACAAAUGUCCGUAGCCGCCGCAGGACCAAAUAGAAAGCUCCCUUAGCUUCACAUUAGUGGUCGUAGCAAUUUAUCUAACCACAAUAUCCAAAAGCAUUAGAUGGUUAGUUCAAGGUAUCUUUGUCAGCACAACAAGUGUACUUUUGUAUAUCGUGAUGGCAUGUAAAGCAGUUGUAGACCUAUGCAGCCUUCGAAAUGCAUACUGAUGCUCGGCGAAUGGAAAUUGUCCAACGAGAGGAGCGGGAGGAUUAGCCCCUCAUGCGUCUUGGCUACUGAUGAGAGAUGGUAGAUCGGUCUGUACGACUCCCCCUUGCUCUUGUCCUUUUCAGGUUUCAGUUGUUGGAUCAGACUGCCCAUCUUCCAAACAUCGGGUACUAUAAUACUGUUCAGAUAGGCUGAG